ACCAGGCCCCUGCCCCGAGUUAAAUACUCCAACUGCACAUCUAAUUAAGUGGGGUAAAGGGGUAACAGAGAAGAGCGCCUAGCCUUCAGCAUGGGAGAGUGCUGCCAACAGAGCCGGUUGUAAAUUGUGGGCAGAGAGAAAUUCUUUCUAAACUGACGAGUGAGAAAGAGGGAACAAACCUUCUAAACUGGGAGGGAGAGAAAAUAUGCUUGUUGGGAAAAAAGAAUAGAGAGACCCACUUCUUGCUUAGGGGAAGGAGAAGAAACAUGUCUCUAAAGAGACUUCAGAAAUGGUGACUUCAGAAACCGAGAGAUGAUGGUGAGAGAGGAAGAGAAUUCCUUAAAAGAGGUGGACGCUAGAGCUCCGUACCCGAAAGUCAGACCCUCCGCUCCCAGGACUAGAAGACUGACGCUGAACUUCCUAAGACCAGGUGCCAAGUCUCAUCUACCUUGGUACAUUCAUCCCUGAGUACAACAUCCAGCACAGAGAAGACUCAAGAAAUGUUUGCUAAUGAAUGAAUGAUCUGGUAGAAAGAAAAAAGACUGAAGGUGUGACAACAGGAAAUUCAAAUGCUCCCCUGAGGAAAGAAAGAGAGAGAUGGUCCAGGAGACAGACUGCACAGCUGGCAGCAGGGGGCUAAGCAUGGAGAUGCUCUAAUGUCUCAGCGGCAUGAGGACCAGGUGAAAACAAACGGUUACCAGCCUGCCUCACCAUAUCUGCCAGGUUCCAUGCCUGUUUUUGGCACCACAGACCGUCUCUAUACCCAUCUAGAAGAAAGGCUCAACUGAGGAGGACUCUUAGGGCUGAGGGCUCAGAGGGUGUACAUGAUUGAGCUCUCUCUCUUUGUGUGUGUGUGUGUGUGUGUGUGUGUGUGUGUGAGAGAGAGAGAGAGAGAGAGAGAGAGAGAGAGAGAGAGAGAGAGAGAAUUACAUGCCCACACUGUGCUCUUCCCCACAUCCAUCACUGCACAUGUUAGGUCAGAUUGGAUGUGCUUUGCUCUGUGUCUCUGUUAUUAGACUAAGGGCCUUCUGUCUCAGGCUGGACAUUUUCUGUCUCACCUCUACUUCCCUAAGCUCAGCCUGUGCAUGAGAAAAAGGGAAGCAAGGCAAGAAAGGGAAUGUGUUCACUAUAGACUCAUUGGUCUUACUCUCCAUGAUCUGUCAUUUUGCUGUCUGCAUGUUAAACUGCAAUGAAAACUUUAAGUCAGACUUUGUGGUACAAGCCUCACUGAGAAGCAAAGGCAGGAGAAUGGAAAGGUCCAAGCCUGCCUCGAGCAGUAGAGUGAGUUCGAGGCUAACCUGGUCAACUUAGGAGCACACUAUAUCAAAGUAAGGGCUGGGGAGUGAAGUGUUUGAUCUGCUAGCAUGAGGGUCUGAAUUUGAAUACCCGGCACCCAUGUAAUGUUGGGCCUCAUGGUAUGUGCUUGUAACCCCAGUGCUAGGGAACUCAUUUUGAUAGCCAGCCAGUUCAGCUGCUUUUCAAGCUUUGGUUCAAUGAGGGACCUUGUCUCAAAAAGCAAGGUGGGGAGCAAAAGAGAAAGACACUGACACUGAUGCUCUGGAUUCUGCACAUGCACAGACAAGGGUGUGCCCCGCCACAUUCACACACGUGUGCACAUAAAAUAGUAGUAGUAAUAAUUAAUAAUAAUAAUAAUAGACUAGAAAAUGUAGCUCAGCAAUAGAACAAUUGCCUGGUGUGCGUGAGGCCCCAGGCUCAACCUCCAGUACUUGCAACCAGAAGUUUAGUUAAAAAUGAGUCAGGCGGCGGCGGCGGCGGCGGCGGUGGUGCACGCCUUUAAUCCCAGCACUCGGGAGGCAGAGCCAGGCGGAUCUCUGUGAGUUCGAGGCCAGCCUGGUCUACAGAGCGAGAUCCAGGAAAGGCGCAAAGCUACACAGAGAAACCCUGUCUUGAAAAACAAAAAGAAAAAAAGUUUAGUUAAAAAUGAAAGAAAAGACUAAUUAAAAAGUGAGGAUUUGAAUAAACGUUUCUCCCCAAAAGAUACACAAAACACAGAAAAUAACAUUUUUCUGGUAAGACUGUGGAGAAAUUAGUGGGGUGGUGGUAUAUUUUCAGUUAGGUGCCCACCUGGGCUACAUAGUGAGACCUUAUCUCAAAAAAUAAACUAAAAUAUGGCAUUUGGUCUUUUCUAUCUUUUAUAAACUGAACAUUUUGAAUUUUAA